CAGGAGCUUCCGCUCUCAUCACUGUACACAUGAAGCACAAUAUGGCACCUGCCAGCCGGACUGUUGUUGUGCUAGUGCUUUCCCUUCUUUACUUGUGUCGAGCAAUCUUUUCCACCGAAUAUUUCUCUACGCUUACUUUUUUCAAUAGUGAACUGCACAAACAUGGAUGCAGUUCGCCUUCGGAGUGGGAGGAAUACGCCGCCGACUGCGAAUCCUCCAUUUUGCAAUUGGAAGACCCAGACUGUGAAGAAGGGAGCAACCCUCCCUGUGAAUCGGUCUUCUCGCUCAAUGCAGAGAAGAUUCUGAGCCAGGCCAAGUUGUUCAUAGAACAGAAAAAAAUACCUUUCCCUGUGGAUAACCACAACACAAACGAAGAGCUUGCUAUAGGGUACGUGCUGAUCGGCAACGGCCUCUACGACGAAGCCAUCAAACACUUUUCCCUCUUGCUACAGGGAGAACCAGAGUUGGUCAGUGCCAUCUAUGGCAGAGGCAUAGCAUAUGGAAAGAAGAGUCUUCAGGACAUCAAGAAUGCUGACCUGGCCUUGUUCGAGCUCAGCCGGGUCGUCACGCUGGAGCCAAACUGGCCCGAGGUCUACGAGCAGAGAGCAGAGAUCCUAUCUCCGCUGGGCCGUAUCAGCGAGGCCCUGGGUGACCUGACCAAGGCCAUUCAGCUGCAGCCCUCAGCGCGCCUCUACAGACACAGGGGGACCCUGCUCUUCAUAUCAGAGGAUUACGUGGCCGCUAUGGAGGACUUCCAACAGUCUCUGGACCUGAAGAAGAACCAGCCCAUUGCCAUGCUGUACAAGGGCCUCACUUUCUUCCAUAGAGGCAUGCUAAAGGAAGCCAUAGAAACGUUCAAAGAGGCUCUGAAGCUCAAGUCUGACUUCAUAGAUGCCUAUAAGAGCCUGGGGCAGGCGUACAGAGAGCUUGGGGACUUUGAGGCGGCGAUGGAGAGCUUCCAGAAGGCCCUGAUGCUGAACCAGAACCACAUCCAGUCCCUGCAGCUGCGCGGUAUGAUGCUCUACCACCAUGGCUCGCUGCGGGAAGCCAUCGGCAACUUCAAGCGGUGCCUUCAGCUGGAGCCCUACAACGAGGUGUGCCAAUACAUGAAGGGCCUCAGUCAGGUGGCCAUGGGCCAGUUCUACGAGGGUAUCAAGGCCCAGACCAAGGUCAUGCUCAACGACCCCCUGCUGGGCCAGAAGGCCAGCUCUGAAUACCUCAAAGUGAAAUACCUCAGAGAGUAUUCUCGUUACCUGCACUCCCACCUGGACGUCUCGGUGGCCGAGUACAACGUGGACCAGGACCUCCCGGGGAACUUCAAGAACCACUGGGCCAAGAACCUGCCCUUCCUCAUCGAGGAUUAUGAGGAGCAGCCGGGCCUGCAGCCGCACAUCAAGGACGUCCUACCUCAACACUUUGAAAGCUACAGCAACGAGGUGCAGAAGCUCAUCUGCACCGCGGACCACCUCGGGGCGCUCAUGCAGUACAACACGCCGGGCUUCCUGCCCAACCGGAGAAUACACAGAGCCAUGGGCCUAGCGACCCUGGAGGUGAUGCAGGCCAUGCACCGAACGUGGAGCAACUCCAAGGUCCGGGUGAACGGCAAGACGCGGCAGAUGCAGUGGCGGGACAUGUUCGACAUAGCCGUCAAGUGGAGGAGGAUUGCAGAUCCAGACCAGCCAGUUCUGUGGCUAGACCAGAUGCCAGCCAGGAGUCUCAGUCGAGGCUUUAAUAAUCACAUCAACCUCAUAAGAGGACAGAUCAUAAACAUCAGGUAUCUAGCCUACUUUGACAACAUCCUUGACUUCAUUAAGGAUCGGAUACUAGUGUACCACGGAGCCUACAAUCCCAGGGGGCUGGUAGAGGUCCGACAAGCUCUGGAGACCGUGAACAAAGUGGAGGACCUGCUUCCUAUAAUGAAGCAGUUCAAUAGUAAAACCAGAGAUGGAUUUACGGUCAACUCCAAAGUACCCAGCAUGAAGGAUCCGGGGAAAGAGUAUGACGGCUUCACCAUCACCAUCACGGGAGACAGGGUGGGCAACAUGCUGUUCUCGGUGGAGACCCAGACCACGGAGCAGCGGACUCAACAGUACCAGUCGGAGAUCGAGUCCAUCUACAAGGACCUCACGGCCAAGGGGAAAACCCUCAUGCUGUCCACCGAACUCGGUGACGCAGACGCAGUGUGCAACCUGAUACUGUCCCUAGUGUACUACUUCUGUAACCUCAUGCCGCUGUCCCGCGGAUCCAGCGUGGUGGCCUACUCCGUGGUGAUGGGGGCGCUGAUGGCCAGCGGGAAAGAGGUGGUCGGGAGGAUCCCCAAAGGAAAGCUGGUGGAUUUCGAGGCCAUGACCACCCCCAGUCCGGACGGCUUCAGCAAAACAGCCAAGAGCUGGAUGAAUCUUAAAAGCUUGCCAAGCUGGUACCAGAGUCUUCCGUCGGUAGCGGAGACUUUCCCGUCCAGUAGGACGAUGAUAGAGGUGCUGAACACGGACGCCACAACGCACUGUCCCAAGAAGUCCUAGCCCGGGUUCAGGACUCCACUCUCUCCCUCUCUUUCCCUCCCUCUGUCCAUCUCCGAGAAGAACAACCACCUGCAGCUCUGGUGCAGAACACACAAGGGGAGGGGGAGGGAGGGAGGGAGGGAGGGAGGGAGGGUGUCAUUUGGUGCUUCCUAGGCCGUGCCUGGGACUUCAGGAGACAAAUACUUGUUCAUGUCGGGGUUGUAAUCCACCGCUUACACAGGCGUGCACACACUCACAUACACACAGACAAACACACACACACACACACACACACACCACUUCGCCAAAAGUUACAAUACAGGAUGAAAGUUUUCCUUAUGCAGUUCAAUCGUGUGUUUGGCUGUUAAGGGGCAUGCAAGAGUUGAAACAUCAUCGGUGCAUUUUUAUUUUAUUUAUUUCUCUCUCUCUGUUCCUUUUGGGGGCCCAGACACACGAUGCAGUAGGCAGCCCUCCAUACUUUACUGUUCCACACUCCAACCUAGAGCACAAUGGCAAGGGGGUUAUGGCAAACAAAACUCUUUUGUCCCUUUGGGAUGUAGUGGGCAGGCUUAACCCUCAAGCCCUUCUGUCUCUCUCUCUGUCGCUCUCUCGCUGUCUCUCUGUCUCUGUCUCUCUCUCUGUCCCUCUGUGUCUGUUUUCAUCCAGACGCACACAACUCUGUUAAACAUGACGUAUGACUUCACAAGCCAACCCUCUUAAGUUGCAUGGCCAAGACUGACAUUGAAACUUUUUGGAAUAUGCUAAAAUACUAUUUAACGUCCGCUAUGGAACAAUUUCUCUGCAGCCGUGGCUAUAAUUUAAUUGAGGGUCAUUCAAUCAUCAGUCUCUCUUAACACAAUUAUUGGUCUGGAAAAACAACACCUCUACCUCACUUGUGUCCUGCGUGAUGCCAAAAGCGAGGGCUGUAGUGAAAUUGUGCAGUUGUUGCAGGUUAAGGUUAAAAACCUCCUUAAGUUGGACUCAUUAAAUUUAAGCUUAUUUGUAUGCAUCACCAUCACAGUGUAGGCCAAUGCUUUUUUGGGAUCCGUUUCGAAUUUGUAUGAUUGAUCUUUGUUUUUAUCUUCAUAAAUACUUAAGGCCUUACUUAAUACUUAAGGGCCCCCAGACCAGAAAUGUAGUGUGCAUGCACUGCAUGCACACUACAUUUCUUCCAGUUGGACAAUUGAAAGAAAUGGCAGAUGGAGAUUUAAACUACAAAGAGAGAGAGAUCUGUCUAUAUAAAUAUAUCCGAAAUACAACAUUGGGGUUUCUGUCUUGGCAUACUUGAAUUUCUUUUUAUUUUAUUGUAUUUAUAUAUUUUAAGUUUUUAUUUGGUUUCUGGGGGAAGUGUGAGUGGCGGUGUAUAAGUUCCCAAUGGACAUCAAGCCAAUCAACCAAAGUCACAUAAAUGCUACUGACCUCCCAAGAAUAUUUUAGUAUUUGAAAUGCAUUUCAGCAUAUUUUAAUAGGGCCAUGUGCAAAAGCUUUAUACAAAUGAAAACAUUUUCAAAUGUUUUUUUGUAUUUGUAUUAUAUCUUGGACAUGGCAAAAGAAUUGUCACCCUCCCAUUUGGCAUGAAUGUCCCCUGUGGCUUCAUCCAUUCCAGAAACCAGUUAAGAAAAAUGCAAAUUGAAAUUUUUUGUAGUUAAGCGAUGCGAUUAAGUACUCCAGGAUAUGUGAUAUUUCCGGCCAAUAGAAAUUUAGUAAACUAUUUGCUUGGAAGCAGAUGAACAUUAAAAUUGUGGUAACAAACAUUUUCAGAGCUUGAAAUUUGGGCCAAAAAAGGGUUUGGAACCACUGACUUAAAUGGUGGCUUUGUUUUAUUAAUUGGCAUAUAAAAGGCUUGGGACAGUUGCUGCCUCUCUUGAUAUCUUCCACUGAUGACCCAGAAUAAUUCCACUUUUUUUUUUAUUGCUUUUCUUUGUGUUACUUGACCUGAAAAUUUAGCCCAAUAUCAAACAUGUUUUUUGGAAACAUGGAGCCAAUAGAGAGCAAAAGUUCUUGACCUAACCAGCACAAUUAUACACGUAAUUAGCCAUGCGCCUAAAUCUCUGAAGGUGGCUAUAUGAUUGGUCUACUUUGCUAUUAUUAUUUUAUUUUUAAUUUGACCCCCCCUGACCCCCCACAAAGUACUCCUGUUAUUUCCCCCAUUAUUCAACUGUUUGAUAUUUAUUCGGUCGGUUGGGGAGUUUCUCUGUCUCAGUUAUUGUCCUCGUGCUCAAAAGGAGGAAUUUGUUUAAGCUUUCGAACAUCGGGAGGACUGAAGUUAUAAAUGCAAAAAGCGGUGGAUGGAGGUGUACAACAGCCAAUAAAAUCGGUUUGACAAAAUG